rnacentral:rRNA from 1 species
GACGAACGCUGGCGGCGUGCCUAAUACAUGCAAGUCGAACGAAGCUGUUUUAACUGGUGCUUGCACCGACUUAAACAACUGAGUGGCGAACGGGUGAGCAACACGUGGGUAACCUGCCCCAAAGCGGGGGAUAACAUUUGGAAACAGAUGCUAAUACCGCAUAACCACAGAAACCACAUGGUUUCUGUGUCAAAGAUGGUUUCGGCCAUCACUUUGGGAUGGACCCGCGGCGUAUUAGCUAGUUGGUAAGGUAAUGGCUUACCAAGGCAAUGAUACGUAGCCGAACUGAGAGGUUGAUCGGCCACAUUGGGACUGAGACACGGCCCAAACUCCUACGGGAGGCAGCAGUAGGGAAUCUUCCACAAUGGACGAAAGUCUGAUGGAGCAACGCCGCGUGAGUGAAGAAGGUUUUCGGAUCGUAAAACUCUGUUGUCAGAGAAGAACGUGUGCGAGAGUAACUGCUCGUGCAGUGACGGUAUCUGGCCAGAAAGCCACGGCUAACUACGUGCCAGCAGCCGCAGUAA